rnacentral:rRNA from 1 species
AUUGAACGCUGGCGGCAUGCCUUACACAUGCAAGUCGAACGGUAACAGGUCUUCGGAUGCUGACGAGUGGCGAACGGGUGAGUAAUACAUCGGAACGUGCCUAGUAGGGGGGGAUAACUACUCGAAAGAGUGGCUAAUACCGCAUGAGAUCUACGGAUGAAAGCAGGGGAUCGCAAGACCUUGUGCUACUAGAGCGGCCGAUGGCAGAUUAGGUAGUUGGUGGGAUAAAAGCUUACCACGCCGACGAUCUGUAGCUGGUCUGAGAGGACGAUCAGCCACACUGGGACUGAGACACGGCCCAGACUCCUACGGGAUGCAGCAGUGGGGAAUUUUGGACAAUGGGCGCAAGCCUGAUCCAGCAAUGCCGCGUGCAGGGUGAAGGCCUUCGGGUUGUAAACUGCUUUUGUACGGAACGAAAAGCCCUGGGUUAAUACCCUGGGGUCAUGACGGUACCGUAAGAAUAAGCACCGGCUAACUACGUGCCAGCCGCCGCAGUAAAAC